rnacentral:rRNA from 1 species
GACGAACGCUGGCGGCGUGCUUAACACAUGCAAGUCGAGCGGUAAGGCCCUUUCGGGGGUACACGAGCGGCGAACGGGUGAGUAACACGUGGGUGACCUGCCCUCAGCUCUGGGAUAAGCCUGGGAAACCGGGUCUAAUACCGGAUAUGACUCCAUGACGCAUGUUGUGGGGUGGAAAGCCUUGUGCGGCUGAGGAUGGGCCCGCGGCCUAUCAGCUUGUUGGUGGGGUGAUGGCCUACCAAGGCGACGACGGGUAGCCGGCCUGAGAGGGCAACCGGCCACACUGGGACUGAGACACGGCCCGGACUCCUACGGGAGGCAGCAGUGGGGAAUCUUGCGCAAUGGGCGAAAGCCUGAUCCAGCCAUGCCGCGUGAGUG